GACUACAUGAAGCCGGAAUCGCUAGUAAUCGCGGAUCAGAAUGCCGCGGUGAAUACGUUCCCGGGCCUUGUACACACCGCCCGUCAAGCCAUGGAAGCCGGGAGUGCCUGAAGUACGCGACCGCAAGGAGCGUCCUAAGGUAAAACCGGUGACUGGGGCUAAGUCGUAACAAGGUACC
rnacentral:rRNA from 1 species